CCUUUUCCAGGAACAAGCCCGCUGCCCGAGGUCGCUUCUGCAGUGUUCGGUUUCUUUAAACCAGUAAUGAAGACUGCAGCUUUAGGGCAUGACGUAGAGGAAAAGGGAAACUGUUCCGGACACAGAUGCUGACGUCAGAUCUCGUUGCCUUUUGGCUGAGCCAGUGCAAAAUGCAAGAUCCGAGUCCCGAGGUCUUUUUGGUACCAAACCAAAUUGAGCAUCCUGAAGUUUCAUCCUAUAUUAGGGCCUUUGGCUGCGCUCAGGGACUGCAAGUGUCCACAACAGCUCCAGCCACCCCUUUAGAUUUUAUCUGAAGUCAACAGCAGGAUUUUGGUGCCUCCUGAGGUCCUUUUUACCUGUCUGUAUUCGGUGGAUGACUCAACAUCUCUUGACAAAUGAAGGAAUUUGGAGUGAAAUAAAUACCUGUGUCUAUCA